rnacentral:rRNA from 1 species
UACGGAGGGUGCGAGCGUUGUCCGGAAUCAUUGGGCGUAAGGGCGCGUAGGUGGCCCGGUCAGUUCGUGGUGAAAGCGCGGGGCUCAACCCUGCGUCGGCCAUGAAUACUGCCGCGGCUGGAGCACUGUAGAGGCAGGCGGAAUUCCGGGUGUAGCGGUGGAAAUGCGUAGAGAUCCGGAAGAACACCGGUGGCGAAGGCGGCCUGCUGGGCAGUUGCUGACACUGAGCGCGACGAGCGUGGGAGCAACAGGGAUU